UUGCGCCGUCCGCUCUUUCCAUUUCUCGUCUCUGACUCUCAGCGGGCGACCAUGGAUCAACAGACUUGUGUAAUCCCACCACACCGAAUGCUCAGGGUGUGGAGUAAUCCAGGUCCCUGAGGGAGCUGCAGGAUGGAGUUCUUUGUCUCUUUUAGAUACGCUAAUCGCCUCAGCAGCCGACAUGCAGGAUGUGUUCCUGGCUUCUGCUCUGCUCCUUAGAUCAGCUGCAGGAACCUGAGUCUGCAGCAGUUAACGGACGAGGAUCUCCAUGUGACUCCCAGCAGCUCAGCAGAGCCUCUGGGAUGCUGCAGCCCGUGUUGAGGAGAAAGCUGCACUGAGAGGGCAGCGCUCAUCCUGGACGGCAGCUUGGAAGGGAAACGUUUAACUUUUGGUAAGAAAAGAAUCAGUGUGGCCACAUUUAAAUGUGGGUUCAGUGAUGUUCAAACAAAUGUCUGACCUGAAAUGUAAUGUAGACGAAUAAAAUAUUGCUGAGAAACCCAGUGACUGAAAAGAGUUUGAAGCCAGUUGUUGACUUGUAAUAAGGCUUUCGUUUGUUCUUUGCAGGAUGUCUGCUCAAGUGACGGUGAGUAUCUUUGUGAAAGCAGUGAUGUGUUUUAGGAGUCUCAAUAAACACCAGUGAUGAAAAGAUUCUGCCAAAUGACCAAAUGGACUGAUUAUAACCCUUACCGUUCCAUUAUUUCUGAAGUGUUGUGGUCGGUAGACAGCCCACAUGACUUCCUUGAAGAGGCUUUGUUCUGAAAAGCUGCUUUCUUGCAGGUGCUGACCCAAGGAUGGAAGAAAAUGUCAAACAUUAUUUCCUGAGAUGAUGCUGUGAUCUGGAUGAUUUGAGCAGGAAUUUGAUUUGCAAUCUAAUAAAGUGUGAAAUGAACCAAG